GAGUUUGAUCAUGGCUCAGGAUUAACGCUGGCGGCGUGCCUAAGACAUGCAAGUCGAACGGAGAAUUAGCAAUAGUUCUUAGUGGCGAAUGGGUGAGUAACGCGUUGGUGACCUGCCCCAAAGUGGGGGAUAACAACUCGAAAGGGUUGCUAAUACCCCAUGUGGUUUUCGGAAUCAGAAACCGAUUUCUAAAGGAGUAAUUCGCUUUGGGAGGGGCCUGCGUCCCAUCAGCUAGUUGGUAGGGUAACGGCCUACCAAGGCAAUGACGGGUAGGGGGCCUGAGAGGGUGGCCCCCCACAUUGGCACUGAAACACGGGCCAAACACCUACGGGUGGCAGCAGUCGGGAAUAUUGGUCAAUGGACGAAAGUCUGAACCAGCAACGCCGCGUGUGAUGAAGGUCUUCGGAUCGUAAAGCACUUUUCGGGGAGAUGAGGAAGGACAGUAUCCCCGGAGUAAGGAUCGGCUAACUACGUGCCAGCAGCCGCGGUAAAACGUAGGAUCCGAGCGUUAUCCGAAUUUACUGGGCGUAAAGCGCGUGCAGGCGGUUUGGUAAGUUGGAUGUAAAAGCUCCUGGCUCAACUGGGAGAUGUCGU
rnacentral:rRNA from 1 species